UUUACUCCAAAAUUUGAAUCCCCUCUCAUCUCCACCUCCAAGAUGAAAAAACCCUAAUUCAAAUUUCAAAUCAAACACACCUCUUCUCUUAAACCCACCUCUUCUCUUCCUUCGUUCUCUCUCUUUUUUAAAUUCCAGAUGGAUCUACUAUCUCUUUAGUGAUUCACCCUUAAAUCAAAUAAGAACAAGAAAUCAAUUUGUUUCCUUAUGUCGAUUCAAGCUUGCGCUGUGUUAUUGGUGGUAGCAUAUGGUGAUGGCGGAAGAUUCUAGGAUUCUGGUGUUUAAGCAACAUCAGAGAAGGCGGCCAAGUAUCAGGGUUUCGGCCGUCAGUCUACAAAAUGAUUGAGCAAGGUUUGCCAUUUAGGUGCUGAUAAUACAUUGAUUACAAGAUCCUUGAAUAGUUCGUAGUUUAAAGUGUUGAUUACCGUGGAGGGUGGACAUAAAGAACGAAAGACUGGAAAUUGCACCAGCAAGGGAAUCUAGGGGCUGAAAUUAAUGACUCACUGGAUCAUGAUAUGGCAAUGCUUGUUUUUUUAAUACAAUUAUGGUCAUCACACUUAUCAUAAGGUAAUGGGUAAUACAAUUAUGAAUCUAGAUUUGUUCGUACGAAUUCCAGCAAUGGCAAUUCCGGCAACGGCGGCGGAAUAGUUAUGGAGCGGUUGAGACGUAUAAUGUUGCUGCGAGUUCGAGUAACAGGAGGAGUAGUUAUUGUAAUGGUUUAAUACGGAUGAUUUGAGUACGAGUUCGAAAAGUUCGGAAACCGGUGCGUAUAGAGGUUAUUCGCCGUUGUUCGGUGGUGGUCAUAGAGGUAGGAAACUGCCUGUGAUGGUGCAGUUUCAUGGGGGUGGGUUUGUGACAGGGAGUUGUGAUUUGGCAGCGAAUGAUGUGUUUUGUUGGAGUAUUGCGAAAGUGUGUGAUGUGAUUGUGGUGGCGGUUGGGUAUAGGCUGGCGCCUGAGGAUCGGUAUCCGGCUGCGUUUGAGGAUGGGGUGAAAGUGAUGCAUUGGUUGGCAAAGCAAGCGAAUUUGGCGGAGUGUGGGAAGUCGUUGGGGAAGAAGGUUGAGUCGAGAAAGGCGGAUUAUUCAAGGGCAUGUUGUGGAUGUGUUUGGGGCUUCUUUAGUGGAGCCUUGGCUAGCUGCACAUGGAGAUCCAUCUAGGGCUGACCAUCCUCUGAACUGCUUCUCUGGUUGUGCACUUGCACAGGGGUCAGAGGAUGCUUAUGACUAGGGGUGGCAAUUCUGACCCAAACUAAUAUAUCGAUGCAAAUCAGAUUGUUGAAAUUAGUCAGCUUUAUGAUGUUUAGAAUGUUAUGAAAUUUAUUAUAUAGUGUUUGUUUAUAUAGUUCUAGCUGAUUUGUUGAGGAAAUUGAAGAAUGGAUUCAUGUACGGUUUAUAACUUUGGAUCAUUGUGGUAGGUUUUGUUGCUAAUCGACUGUGUUUGUGUGAAGAUUUGUAAUUAAUCAGUAGAGACAUUAAGUAAUUGUU